rnacentral:rRNA from 1 species
GUCUACGGCCAUGCCACCUGAACGUGCCCGAUCUCGUCUGAUCUUGGAAGCUAAGCAGGGUCGGGCCUUGUUAGUACUUGGAUAGGAGACCACCUAGGAAUACCAGGUGCUGUAGGCG